rnacentral:snRNA from 1 species
AUAUUUACCUGGCAGGGGAGAUACCAUGAUCAUGAAGGUGGUUUCCCCAGGGCGAGGCUUAUCCAUUGCACUCCGGAUGUGCUGACCCCUGCGAUUUCCCCAAAUGUGGGAAACUCGACUGCAUAAUUUGUGGUAGUGGGGGACUGCAUUCGCGCUUUCCCCUG